UGGUUAAAGAAAUUACAGCCACUUUGACCUGAGGCAUUCCCCAAGUAAAAUGGGUACUAAAAUGAAACGUCUUUCAGUCAGUACCCUGAAAUUUCGUGUGCCCAAGAUGUGUGAUCCAUCUUAUCAGAGGGCCUCCUACGUACUGGAUUUGAAUCACGACCUACCAGCAUCAUAGGACCACUCUCACUGCCUGCAUGACCUCCAGUGACUACCACAGAGACGUGGAAAGACAGGGCUUUUGGGUUGAGUAGUCAUGCACCAAUGAGCCCCAACAAGGCCAGUGAAGCUCAGAAGAUGGGUCCCAAUAUUUCCCAGCAGAAUUCCAAUUUACACAGGCCAAUUUAUAAAACUGCCCCAGAAGAUAAACUUCUAGGGAGGGGCCAUUGGAGCACACAGUUCAAAGAAGGCAGGCCAUGUGGCUGAGGCCAGAACAGUACCCUCAGGACCUGGGCCUCCUCUCCCAUAACCCAUCUUCCCUUGUAGGAAAAGGCUCUUAAGGUUGUGACACCUGCCAUUGACUACUUGGGCCUGGAACUGCUUUAACUAUGAUCUUCUAGACAGAAAAGUCCUGCCAGAGAGAGCCAAUCCUGAGCAGGACAAAUUAUACACCAAACACAAAGUCAUCGCCUUCAGCUUCUGAAUUACCCCAAGAGGGGCCACCAAGUCAAGACUGACUCCACCAGGGAUUUGAACCAGGAACCUUGCAGUUGCAAGCCCUGCACCUUAACCAACUGUGCAAAUAGACCACAGGUGUUAAGGAAGGGCAGAAAGCUUUCUUGAGCUGUAAUUUGAAUAGGAAUGCUGCACCCUGAGGCACUGUGGCCUGCCUCAAAGCCGGGUGGGGCUGACGGUCAUCAGCAGCUUCAGCUGCUUCCUUCCCUCAGAGUUGCCCCAGCUGAGGAAAAAAGCCCCUUGCUGAGUCAGUUGAAAAGCCUUGUUCACAGCUGCUGCUGGGCCCUCGUGAGUGCCCCCGUGGCUUUCAGUCGCCAUGUUGACGCUGCCAGAACCACUUGCACGCCUGGGCCACUUCCUGAGCUACUGCCCACACAGGGACCCGUUGCUGGCAGCAAACGCCCCGGGGAGCCUUUUGGCCCUGCGACCUGGGACUGGGGCAUGCCAGAGAGGCCGGCCAGAGCCCCCCGCAGGCUCCGGUUGUGCAUUGCUCCCCUCCGCUGUUUUCUCCAGCCUGGCUGCCCGCUGGGUUCCGCCCCUGGGGCUGGGCUGCCCCCGACCUGCAGGGAGAGAAAGCCCCAGGGGCAGCACUUGCCCUCUGCCCCGCAGGCUCCCUCAGGUUUUGCUCCUAGAGAUGAUAUCCGAAGGAUAGAGAAGGAGACGGAAAGCAGAGAGAGAGCUGGAAGCCUGUCACUGCGGAGCCGGUCUUUCACUCUGUCAGAUCCAGCAUCUAUUCUAGUCGUAGGAUAUUAGAUCCCUCAAGACUGGGACCAGCUAUAAUCAGGAAUGAUCUAGGAGGCUGACAAUGGAUUCUAGUGCUGGAUCUGCCCCUUGCUAACGUUUGUGAGUAAGCAAUUAACGUUGCUAAGCCUCCCUUGCCUCAGUUAUGUAAAGAAGAUAGC
rnacentral:lncRNA from 1 species